CCAGCCCCCAUGGAAACCAUAGCAACGAGCAGCUAGAAGACGCCGGCCAUUCAUCUCCCUUUUGUUCCUUGCCUUGCAUGUGGACUCUCCAAUUACAGUCCGCAUAAACGCAGGAAGGACGGAAGACUGCGAGAAAGGAAAAGAGGAAAGGGAAAGAGAGAAUUGAAGCGAAGAAAAUGAGAAGGAAGAAAGGAAAGGAGCAAGGAAGGGAAGAAGAAGGAAAUGAAGAAGAAAGUGAAUUCUUAGCCUCUGUCUGCCAGCUGUGUGACCCUGGACACAUUACUUAACCUCUCUGAGGUCCAGUUAUUUUCUUCAGCAAAAUAGAGCUUCCAGGUGGUGCCCAUCCUUCCAUGGACUACAAUCUGAGCAGCCAGAAGACUAGAAGAUUUGCUCAAGAAAAUCUAGCUAGUCAUAAUGGGCAGAACAUGACUUUGAACUCAGAUCAACAUGUCCAUAUCCCCUUGGCAACUGCUGCUCCAACAUGCGCAAUGGGGGUUCUCCUGUAAGCACACCCAGUCUCCUCCCGAGGGCCUUCUCCCUGCCCACUCAGGACACGCUGGAAGUUCUGGCAGUUACUGCCUCAACAGCAGCAAUUACCCAAUGAUGGGUGGGAGCUGGAAGGCAAAUACCCCAGCUUUUUUACCUCUUCAGUGGGAUAACCCUGAGCUAUCUUCUACAACAUCUCCCAGAAGUCCCCAGUGAGACUGCAUUCCAGUUGCUCACAGUGUUAACUUGCUCAAUAAAACCUUUUCUUGGCUUUUUCUCCUUUUCUCUGUCACUUCCCCACUCUCCUACUAGUAGUUCUUGAGAUGAGCUACCAAAUAAAUU
rnacentral:lncRNA from 1 species